rnacentral:rRNA from 1 species
ACUCCUACGGGAGGCAGCAGUGGGGGAAUAUUGCACAAUGGGCGGCAAGCCUGAUGCAGCAACGCCGUGUGAGUGAAGAAGGUUUUCGGAUCGUAAAACUCUGUCCUAAGGGAAGAAAAAAUAGACGGUACCUUAGGAGGAAGCCCGGCCUAACUACGUGCCAGCAGCCGCGGUAAUACGUAGGGGCGAAGCGUUAUCCGGAAUCACUGGGGCGUAAAGGGUGCGUAGGCGGCUUAGCAAGCCAGGGGUGAAAGGCAUUGGCUCAACCAAUGUAAGCCUUUGGAACUGUUAAGCUUGAGUGCAGGAGAGGUAAAGUGGAAUUCCUAGUGUAGAGGUGAAAUUCGUAGAUAUUAGGAGGAACACCAGUGGCGAAGGCGACUUACUGGACUGUAACUGACGCUGAUGCACGAAAGCGUGGGUAGCGAACAGGAUUAGAUACCCUGGUAGGUCAGUC